rnacentral:other from 1 species
AAAUUGCUGUGGUAUACGAAUUCAUACUCAUGUGUUGACCGACUAUUUUUGUAUUAUUCGGGAAACAAUUCUUUCUAGCAGUAUGCAGGCCGUCUCACACGGAAGCGACUAAGUUAGAAAUACCGUUGCCCACCUGCUUCUAUUUGUGCGGGAUCAAUACAAAUUUUGAAUCACCGGUACCAAUACAGCGUUUUU